AUUGAACGCUGGCGGCAGGCCUAACACAUGCAAGUCGAACGAGCGGCGGACGGGUGAGUAAUGUCUGGGAAACUGCCCGAUGGAGGGGGAUACCUACUGGAAACGGUAGCUAAUACCGCAUACUAUCAGCUGUGCCCAGAUUGGAUUAGCUUGUUGGUGGGGUAACGGCUCACCUAGGCGACGAUCCCUAGCUGGUCUGAGAGGAUGACCAGCCACACUGGAACUGAGACACGGUCCAGACUCCUACGGGAGGCAGCAGUGGGGAAUAUUGCACAAUGGGCGCAAGCCUGAUGCAGCCAUGCCGCGUGUAUGAAGAAGGCCUUAGGGUUGUAAAGUACUUUCAGCGGGGAGGCGUUACCCGCAGAAGAAGCACCGGCUAACUCCGUGCCAGCAGCCGCGGUAAUAC
rnacentral:rRNA from 1 species